ensembl:lncRNA
UUUUUUUUUUUUUUUUUUUGAUCUUCAUUUAUUUAUUUCUCUUUUAUACACAUUUUUACCAUUUUAAUGUUAUAUUUUUUUUUUAUACAGACAAUGAAUUAAGCCUAAUAAAAUAUUACUUGAACGAUCUGAACACGUCGUCUCAAAAUUUAUGCAACAUUAACUAUUACAACAGUGUGUCCAAAUGUAGAAAUGAAAAAAAUAUGAAAAACUUGAAAAAUAGAAAUUCCCUUUUGGAUUGUUUACAAACUAAAACGGAUAUUCAAGAACAGUUCAAAAGCAUCGACUUCGAGAGCAAUACAACAAGUACAAUAUCUGAUAGUAACAUUUCUGAUUCUUUAUCGGAUGAUGGAAAAAAAAAAACUAAAGAUAAAACAUUAGUAAAAAAAAAAAAAAUAAAUAAUACUACUACUAAUAAUAAUAAUAAUAUUAGUAAUAACAAUAAUAGUAAUAAUAACCUUAGCAGUAGCAAAAAAAAUAUCACAUUUUCUUUUAAUAAAAAAGGAGAUGAAAAAAAAAGUUAUUUUAAAAAUGAUGCAAAUAACACAUGCGUCGACACGUAUAAGAAUUUAUUAAAUCAUAGUAAUGAUGACCUUUUUAAUAAUUUAAAAAAAGAAUUCAAAAACAAAAAAAAAUAUAUAAAUAAAAAUGGUAAUAAACCAAUGCGUUAUGAAGAAUAUGAUAGCUCCGGUUCUUCAACAGGUAGUAGUAGACUAAGAGAUGGAGGUAGAUUAACAAAUAGUGACAGUUUAACUGAUAGUGACUCGAUAACAAAUACUGUUAAAAAAACAAACAAAAAUUUGAAAUUGAAUAAAAAUAAUAAUCGAAACGAAAAGUACCAUUUUUUUGCGAAACAAAAUGCAGAGAAAAAAAAAAAAAAAAAAACAUCUAAAAAAGAAAAUACGCAAAGCAAUUUUUUUAAUUCAUCAACUUGUAGUAAUUUUUUCGAAGAAAGGUAUAACACACACGAUGAUUGUGAAUUGAGUAAAAAUGACACAAACCGUUUUACCACUCUAUUAUGUAAUAAAGACAAGCCAACAGUAUAUAAUAUGAAUAACUCGAUUAUAACAAAUAGUAAUAAUAACAAUAAAGAUAAUAGUUGUAGUAUACAAAAAUUAUGUGUUGUCGAUUUAAAGGAUAAAAGGGAAGUUAAAGAAAAAAUAAAUUCACUUACAUGUGAACGUGAAAAAGAAUUAUUUCAUUAUUUAAUUGUAAAGGCAAAUAAUGAAAUUGAAAAUAUAAGCAUUAAGUUAGAACAAAAAUAUACAAAAGAGUUAAUGGAUAGAAUUUAUAAUUUAAAAAUAAAAUAUGAGCAAACAAUAAAAAAACUAUUAGAUAAUAAAGCAUAUAUGUCUGUACAAAAUGAAUCAAUCAAAGAACAAAAUCAAAAAAAUUUUGAUAAAAUAAAAGAGUUAGAAAAAAAUCAAAAUACAUUAUUAAACCAAAUAGAAAAAUUAAAAAAUAAUUACCAGCAAUUAAUACAUGAUACAUCAGUACAUGAAGAAAUGUUAAAAAAUAAAAAUAAUAAAAAAAUUGCAAAAUUAAAUUAUCAACUUGAUAUGAGUAACAAGGAAAUCGAAGAGCAUAAACAAAAAAUUAUCGAUUUAAAUGACGAUUUGAGUAAAAGACAUAAAAAUAAUUGUAAUAUACAAAAUAUGCUGGCCGCGAAUGAAAAACUCUUACAACAAAACCAAGAAGAACUUGUAUACUUAUAAACUUUAAAAAUAAAUAAUUUCCUUUUCUUUCUACA